UUAACUCAAAUUUGUAUGGAGUUGGAACGUUUGCCUACGUUUGCCGCUAGGGGCGCUGUUUCAACUCCAUACAAAUUCGAAAA
rfam:Bombyx mori DNA, contig: Bm_scaf67_contig30285, strain: p50T/Dazao, build 2, whole genome shotgun sequence.